rnacentral:rRNA from 1 species
GUAGAGAUGAAAUUNUAUGAUACCUUUUUUNGAAAGAAAAGCUAUGGCACAGGUAUAGGCGAAGGCAUCCCCUUAUGUGAUAACUGACGUUGAGGGACGAAGGCUUCGAUUAACGAACAGGAUUAGAUACCCUGGUAGUUGAGGCAGUAAAUGAUGAAUGUCAUAGAUUAGAUGUAUAAGUUUAUUCUAUAAAUGAAAGUGUAAGCAUUCCACCUCGAGAGUAAUUUGGCAACAUUGGAACUGAAAUCAUUAGACCGUUUCUGAAACCAGUAGUGAAGUAUGUUGUUUAAUUUGAUAAUCCGCAAAAAACCUUACCACAAUUUGAAUAUUUAUAUUGUUAUUUCCUUAAUUUUUUAUUUCAUAUUGCAUAAAUAGUUGAACAAUUAAAUUAAAAACGACAUCUUCCGCAACAAAGUAUAUUUUAUUCAUGGAAAAUGCAUAAAAUAUAUGUCUUGUGGAACAAGGCAAUAACAGUAUAUUUACAAGCGUUGCACGGCUGUCUUCAGUUAAUGUCGCGAGGCUAUGGUUAGUUCCAUUAAUUAACGUAAACCCUUACUUUAUUUUUAUAUAGAGUAGUUCCCCACUAGAUUGGAUAUGAUAACAGGGACUAAGAC